AGAGUUUGAUCCUGGCUCAGAACGAACGCUGGCGGCAGGCUUAACACAUGCAAGUCGAACGCACCUUCGGGUGAGUGGCAGACGGGUGAGUAACGCGUGGGAACGUGCCCUUCAGUUCGGAAUAACCCAGGGAAACUUGGGCUAAUACCGGAUACGUGCGAGAGCAGAAAGAUUUAUCGCUGAAGGAUCGGCCCGCGUCUGAUUAGCUAGUUGGUGGGGUAAUGGCCCACCAAGGCGACGAUCAGUAGCUGGUCUGAGAGGAUGAUCAGCCACAUUGGGACUGAGACACGGCCCAAACUCCUACGGGAGGCAGCAGUGGGGAAUAUUGGACAAUGGGCGCAAGCCUGAUCCAGCCAUGCCGCGUGAGUGAUGAAGGCCUUAGGGUUGUAAAGCUCUUUCGGCGGGGACGAUAAUGACGGUACCCGCAGAAGAAGCCCCGGCUAACUUCGUGCCAGCAGCCGCGGUAAUACGAAGGGGGCUAGCGUUGUUCGGAAUCACUGGGCGUAAAGGGCGCGUAGGCGGCUUGAUAAGUCGGGGGUGAAAGCCUGUGGCUCAACCACAGAAUUGCCUUCGAUACUGUCUGGCUUGAGACCGGAAGAGGUAAGUGGAACUGCGAGUGUAGAGGUGAAAUUCGUAGAUAUUCGCAAGAACACCAGUGGCGAAGGCGGCUUACUGGUCCGGUUCUGACGCUGAGGCGCGAAAGCGUGGGGAGCAAACAGGAUUAGAUACCCUGGUAGUCC
rnacentral:rRNA from 2 species